rnacentral:rRNA from 1 species
ACCCCUCAAGCCCCCCUUCUUAAUUGAAGCCGGCUUGGUGUUGGACGGCUUGGUGUCAGCGAUGUCACCCCUCCCAAAGACAAUGACCGGGGG